rnacentral:rRNA from 1 species
UACGUAGGGUGCAAGCGUUGUCCGGAAUUAUUGGGCGUAAAGAGCUCGUAGGCGGUUUGUCGCGUCUGCUGUGAAAACCCGAGGCUCAACCUCGGGCCUGCAGUGGGUACGGGCAGACUAGAGUGGCGGUAGGGGAGAUUGGAAUUCCUGGUGGUAGCGGUGGAAUGCGCAGAUAUCGAGGAGGAACACCAAUGGCGAAGGCAGAUCUCUGGGCCGUAACUGACGCUGAGGAGCGAAAGCAUGGGGAGCGAACAGG